GACAGAGGGGGCAAGCGUUGCUCGGAAUCACUGGGCGUAAAGGGCGCGUAGGCGGGAUGGCAAGUCGGUCGUGAAAUCCUUCGGCUCAACCGAAGAACGUCGGCCGAUACUGCCGUUCUUGAGGGAUGCAGAGGAGAUUGGAAUUCCCGGUGUAGCGGUGAAAUGUGUAGAGAUCGGGAAGAACAUCAGUGGCGAAGGCGGUCUGCUGGGCCGUUGCUGACGCUGAGGCGCGACAGCGUGGGGAGCAAACAGG
rnacentral:rRNA from 1 species